rnacentral:rRNA from 1 species
GAUAAACGCUGGCGGCGCACAUAAGACAUGCAAGUCGAACGGACUUAACCAUUAGUUUACUGAUGGAGCGGUUAGUGGCGGACUGGUGAGUAACACGUAAGCAACCUGCCUAUCAGAGGGGAACAACAGUUAGAAAUGACUGCUAAUACCGCAUAUGCCAUGAGUAUCGCAUGAUACAAAUGGGAAAGGAGCAAUCCGCUGAUAGAUGGGCUUGCGUCUGAUUAGAUAGUUGGUGUGGUAACGGCAUACCAAGUCGACGAUCAGUAGCCGGACUGAGAGGUUGAACGGCCACAUUGGGACUGAGAUACGGCCCAG